UUCAGCCGGGGAGCCCCUUUUACACGCGGGGCUGAGAGGAAGAGCACAAUGCUUCGACCCGUUGACCUGAUGCGGAUAAUGCUGCCGUAGGGAUGCUUUUAU
rnacentral:ncRNA from 1 species